GGCUAGGUUGAGGCACCAUCUCUGUGCUCUGCUGGUACAUCUAUACUCAGCUUAUGGUUUUUCUGCUCAGCAAAUCAGAUGUUAGUCUGCCCAGAAAAUAAGGCUUGGUUUGUACUUAGGUGAUCAACCAUUCCAACUGGCCCACGACUGCGCUAGUGUUAAAACUGAAAGUCCCGCAUCCUGGGAAAUGGUUUCGUCUCCAGCAAAUGAGGAUGUCCAGUCACCGUAUUUGUACCCUUCCUUCUUAGGGUGUUCUGUCCCCUCCACUAACAGCCUUUCUGUACUGGAAAGCCACCACAGCUGACUUUUUCCACAGCUAUGACUGUUUUCAGGGAGCAAACACCUGUCACCUUUGUCUCCUCAUGAGCCCGGUUUCCCUGGGCAGUGAUCUGUUCUGUGCUUCUUUUCUCAGAGUACCCAACAGCCCAGCCCAGCCCAGCCUGGACUGCCUCGUUCUUCCUUGAGGCACAAAUGGCACAAAACACCCUCCAGAGCAGAAAUAACUGAAGACAGGCACAGAGCUCACUUUUGGUCGCAUGGCAACCACGGCCGGCUGCUUUUGAAGCUGCUUGUUAGUGUGAAAGUUAUUUUGCAUAAAGUUAUUUGUUAAUAGCUAAAAACUUCCAGCUCCCUGCAGGUCUUACUUUCUUACAGAUUAUUUUCCCCCUCAGGAAUCUUUAUGAUUCAAGGAGAUUUGAAGAUAUCACACAAAUAAUAGGAAGUAUCUGCCAACAUCCUUCCAAAUGGUUGAGAGGGUCCCUGCAUCCUUAGCUUCCAUUGCUUGUUGUUAUUACUCCUCCGACAACCAAAUGACAGAGAACAAAACUGCAUUCAAACACUCUGUUCCUUCCAUUCAAGGUAACAGCUUACUCUCCAUCUCAUUCAGUCAGGUGGAGGCAUCUCAAAGACAACUGAAGAUGAUUAGAUGAAUUGUUUGGUAAUUACCCACCCAUGCUCACCUCCAAACAAAGAAAAAAAGUACUGCUCGUAGUCCUUUGCAAUCUACUAUUAAUUUACUUACUCAAUUUCAUUUCUAUUACUUCCUAAUCUUUUUUAUACUUUCCCUAAUCUCAAGGAUCUAAGAAUAAACACUCCAAACAUAGAAAACAAACUUCUGGUUACCAAAUGGGAAGGGAGGGGGAGGGAUAAGUUAGGAGUCUGGGAUUAAAAUAUACACACUACUACUAUAUAUAAAGUAAAUAACUAACAAGGAUCAAUGAUAUAGCAUAGGAAACUCUAUACAAUAUCUUGUAAUAACCUAAAAUGGAAAAGAAUCUACAAAAAGGAUAUAUAAAUAUCUCUCUCUAUUACUGAAUCACUUUGCUAUACAUCUGAAACUAACACAACUUUGUAAAUCAACUAUAUUUCAAUAAAAGUUUAAAAAUAAAAAUAAAUAAAAACUCUUUUAACUAUUUCCUAAUCCCUGCCCAUUCUAUUGCCACCCUUAGAUAUCCUAGCCAUCGCCUCACUAGCCCCCUCCUCCCUACUGCUGCGUAGCUAGUUGGCCACUUGCCUACCACACUUCCCUUCUCCAAAUACCAGCCCUGAGUUAAUCUUCAGCAAACUGUCCUUAGCAAAUGACUCAGCUUCUAAGUUCUUCUCUCUUCUAAUGCUGCUCUUCAUCUGACUGUUACAUACAUACUGAAUGAAUCCCUACGUAAGGCAUUUUACUAUUUAACUUCUGAUAUUCUAGAAAGGGAGACAGGUAACUAAGAAAAACAUUAUGCGACAAGGGCACUAGAGUUUUAGAAUGAAGGGACCAUAUGCAUUUUUAAAGGCACAGUGAAACAUCAUGAUGCUUGACAAAAAAACCCCACUGGCUCCAAAACAUGAAAAGACAACUGCAAAACUAAGAUACACAAGUAUUUUCUUAGAACAUAUCAUAUGUCAUGAUAUUUUAGUGAUAAGGUCAUGGUGUUCUGAAUAAGACUGCCCUGAGCUAAAUCUUGGUUCUGUAAUAUACUACUUAUGUGAUCUUUGGCAAGUUAUUUAGUCAUUCCGUCCUUGGAUUCUGGUGGAAUCUGGGUAAUCCUAACACUUAGACAUAGGAUGGCUGUGACAAUGGAUCAGGCACAACGUGAUCUGACUGUGCCUGACAGCAAGUGUGUGCUCCACAAAAGGUAACCACUGUUCAAUCAUGUCAAUUUUGCAGGAUGAGGAUGUAUUUUAAUAUUUGCUAUAAUGCAAGGUGGGGUCACCAAACAUAAGGGCACUCAGGGCCAUGAUGGUUUUAGAAGGUUUCUUGGCGAUUGCAGAGGAUGUGCGUCUUGGGUAGGAGGCAGCUGGGAUGUGGUUCCGCUUUGGGAGGUCAGGGAGGGACUGCAAGGGCAGGGGAAGCCGGACAUGACUCUCAGUCUUCCAUCACCUGCCUUUCAAAUACUCGUGCAAUUCCUUAUCUCCAGAUCAGAAAGUGAAAUUGAGUAUAGGGCACUAGAUGAACUUUUACUUUUCUCAUUUUUUCCGUGGGAUUAAUGUGCCUUUCUGUCAUGUUCUUG
ensembl:lncRNA